AAAUUUGCCAAGUUUUUUCCCAAGUUUGAUGUGCAAAAUCUAUGGCCAAACGGGCCCUAAAUGUCUCGUCCCUUUUUUCCAUUCCAUCUGAAGCCAUAGCUUGAUUCACCACAUUUCUCUCAAGCAUCAGCAGGCCUCCUUCAAUGGCUACGUACGUCGGAUUUUCAAUCUGAAGCAUCAACAAUUUCUCAUUCUUUCAGUUUGCUCUUUCUUGUACUUCGAACUUCCAACUGGUAAUCGCUCUCUUUAAUUUUCUCCUGAAUUUCAGCAGCUUAUUUAUGAAUUUCUAUUUGAAUUUUUUCUUAUUUGAUCUCUCUUUCUCGUUGGUAAUGUAUACAUGCAUGUGCUAUCAGUCUAUUAGAUAAUGUGGAUUUAUCUUCAAUUUUCUUAUAAUUUGGUUUGAAUUUGUUUAUAAGAUGAGAAAAGUUACUAGAUCCACAAAGUAUUUGACAAAAUAUCUAGCAAAAAACUUGAUCUACUGUUUCUGAUCAGGUAUGUCUUUCAAUUAUUAUUAUUAUUAUUAUUUUUUUGCAAUGUUGGUAUUAUCUUUCAACAUUACUUUGACAACCUUUGGAUUUCACUUUUCAAAAACUUGAGUUGCUUUGAUCAGUGUAAAACUGUAAAUAAUUGUAAUUUUUGCAUUCUUCUAUAUUUAGCUCGAGAAGUUGAUUUAAAGUUCUCUAUUUCAUGAUCUAGUCAAGGUGAUGUAAGAAUCAAGUGAAUAUUUGUACUUCCAGAUUUUGAUUCCAUGUGAAUAAAAAACUUUCAUAUCUCUAGUCUUUUUGUUGUUCUUUGCUUGAUGAACAUUCCAGUUUUGUUUCUUUUCCGUGUUAACACUAUUUUAGUUGUGCAAAUCCUUGUCGAUAUUGAUAAAUGAACCUGUGGUAGCUUUUCUUAAUUUGUACAGAAUAAAAUUUUGUAUUAUAUACUACCUAUGUAUAAUUUCCUGUACAACCUAUGGUAGCUUUUCUAAAUGUCACUACCAGGAUAAUGUAGCUGCGAUGGCUCACCAAUAUUUACGAAGUAUAGUAGGCUCUAGAGAGUUGCAAUGGCCAUAGGUAUGGUUUUUAAACGUCAUUGCUGUGACAUUUUGCAUCGCUACGUGUAAAACAUCAUAUCACUAAUCAACCUGUCAUUGCAAUUAGGAAAAAGAAUUACUUUUGACCUCGUUAUACUUUGUUCUUUGAAUUUCAGAGACUAAUUGAUAUCUGAAUAUUUGCAUGGAACUCGCAGUGACAGUGAAUGUUGUACCUGGUCUAACUAUUUCCUGAUUAUAUUUCAGGGUGCAUACAGGAGGAGACCUGUUCCAGGUUGAUUCUCAAGCUAGUGAUGCUGUUCUGAAAGAACUGUGGCACCAUAGUGACGCAAUAAUAUGUUGCUCUGUAAAAAUGAAUAUCUUCAGGAUAUAAUGCUUGAUAAGAUUCUAGAUGAAGCUGGUCGUAAGGGACAAACACCAAGUGAAGAGAAAGAAGGAGAAGCUCUUUGUACAGAUGGUAGCGAGAUAUCAAAUAUUGAGACUGAAAUGAAGUGAAGAAUAAAACGUCUCUACAAGAAUUGAUUGGUGUAGUAUCCUCUUGCCUAUCUGAAGGUAAAGAGGUAGUUAAAUAGUGUUCAUGCUAUUUUCUCAUUACUUGAAUAGGUAGUCGUGCAUAAAUUACUUGAACAUGUAGUCUUGCAUAACAAGUCGUCAGGUAGUCCACAAAAACAGGUGCUUGCAUAUCCCGCAGUAGCAGAUUUUUCACUAAUUGUUGUUGGAAUUCUUCCCUUGAAAAUAUUUUGGAGGAAAUCCCUUUGAUAGGCAGACCAUUUCAAGUGGGCCAACCGAUGAACGUAAGGUCGCUGAUCCAAAUAUACAAGAUUUGGUUUGAAUGGGAGGUUAUGGAAAGAAUGGUCAUAAAGAAAACGGUAAGAAACUCAUGUUUAGUGAAAAAGGCAAAGAUACGAAAAAAAGAGUAGCAGAGGUGAAGCAAAGCAUAGUUGCUGGUAUGCAGAUUGAUGGUAUUUCACGGAAGAGUAUGAAAUAUUUUUUUGAAGAAAGAAUUGUUGAAUCUGCUGUUGGGGUAAUCUCCAUUUCUGCCUUGCCAUCAUGGCUCCCUCCGCCAACACCUGCUGUUGGGGCAAUCUUGAGCUCAAACCUAUACCAAGCAAGUUUUAGAAGAAUUUUGUUGUGUGCGCAAGACAACAAGUCCUUAAUAACAAAAGGAAGAAUAAGAUCCUCUCGAUAUUACAUAUGAUCGUGAUCUAAGUUGUCACACUUUCACUGACUCAAUUUUCUUGCUUCUUCAUUUUUGCAAACUUCUUUUAAUUUUGAUAACUUGAACACGAUCUUGUACGUAAUUCAUAUUUUUACCACUAGAGGACAAUAAAGUUGAUGUAUCAUGUUUUUGAUUGUUCUUAUAAUGGAAUGAAUUUCGUUUGAGUU